GGAAGAUGUGGACCUGUUUAGAAAUAGUUUUUUUGGAGCAAAUCUAAUCUGCGUUGUCAGGAUAUCAGCAGUUUAGUUUACAUGGAUCAGCAGCCACAGCUCAAUCAAACACCAUUUAUGAAUCAGCAACAGCAGUUUGAUCCAGAAGAAACCCCAAGGCUCUGCCAAUCAGCCCCAGUCAAUGGUGGAAAUGGCAAGAAGCUGCUGGAACACCACCAGAAAUUCUUUGGUGCAUUUUUCUCUAUGAAGUCAUGACAAACAAUGACCAGCCAUGGAUGGAAAGGCGAACAAAUACCACAGCGCAUCCUCAGCAAAGACCAGCAUCAGCAAAGCCCAAUGGUGACCAGCAAAGAAUGGAGCUGCCACUAUGAAGAUCAGUCUGAAGAUUUCUCAAAAAGCCAAAAAUAGAACUAUCAGAUCACCCAGCUAUGCUUCUGCUGAGAAUAAACCAAAGGACACCAUACGCUACUACAGAGAAAUGUGUAGAGCCACGUGUUCCUGUUCUAGUCAUAAUAGCUAAGGAAUCAAAUCAGCCUAAAUAUUCAUCAACGAAUGGCUAGACAAUAAGAAAUAUCCUAUUGAUUUACACAAUAGAGUUCCACUUGUCACCGAAUAAGAACAAAAACUUCAGGUGACUUGAAAAAUAUUAUAUUACGGAGGUAACCCAAGCACAGGUAAGAUAAACUUCCUGUUCUUUUCUCAUAUAAUUACAGCAUCAAGUUUUAAAAUGUCUGUGUUUUGGAGUUGUAUAUAGAGACAGAAGUAAGAAAGAAGACAUAGGAGGUAUUUGGGAGUUGGAGUAGGGUCUUAAAAGAAAGGGAUAGUAAAUAUGUGUAGCACAGUGGGGGAAAAACACCAGAGCAUGUGUCUAAGUAAAUUUAAAUUGCUAUGACAAAAUACUAUGGCAAAGGCAAUUAGAAGAACACAUUUAAUUAGGCUUAUGGUUUUAGAAAAUUAGAGCCCAGGAUAGUGAAGCAACAGCUUGGGAGUUAGGAAAGGUGACAUUUCACAUCUUGCUAUGGAAGCAGCAGUCAAACAGAGAAAGGCAAAAUAGGAGUAACAUGAGUCUUUGAAAGCUCAAAACUUGCCCGUAGUGAAUGACACACCUCCUCCAACAGGGCCACACAUCCUAAUAGUGCCACUUCCCAUGAACCAAGCCUACUCAAACCAUCACAUUCCAUUCCCUGGCCCCCAUAGGCUUGUUCAAACAUAUGAGUCUAUGGGAGUCAUACCGAAACACAGUGUAAUGCAAACUAUAUUUAGUCCAUGACGGUUUCAGCAAUGUUUAAAAGUCUAAAGUUCAAAGUCUUUUCUGAUAUUCAUACAGACUUUAACUGUAAUCCCCUAUAAAAUCAAAAUCAUGUACUUCCAAUAUCACAGGAUAUACAUUAACAUUCCAAAACAUCAUAGUAAGGAAGAACUAGACCAAAAUAAGACAGGAAACAGCUGGGCAAACCCCAAACUCUGCAUCUCCAUGUCUGACGUAAAGCACUCUUCAG
ensembl:lncRNA